GACAUUUGCAUAGGAGGGUAACUUUGUAACUUCACUUCAGCCUCUGAUUGUGGAAAGCAACCAAUUAGACUGAUUGCAGGCCACCACUUCAUUUGCAUGGGGUGAAUACCAAGUGCCCAAUAGGAAACCUCUAGAGGGUGUUUGGACCCCAGAAAAUUCUGUAAUGGGGGCUCUGGAGCCCCUAUGCUUGGGCCCGCUCCCACCCUGUGGUGUGUGCUUUCAUUUUCAAUAAAUCUCUGCUUUUGUUGCUUCAUUCUUUCCUUGCUUAGUGCAUUUUGUCUAAUUCUUUGUUCAAAAUGCCAAGAACCUGGAGACCCUCCACCGGUAACAUAUUUUGGUGAGCCAGCCAAAAGAGACCAUCAAGCUUCAGAUGAUCAUGUGACAAAGUUUCCAGUCAGUUCCAAGUGAAGACACCACCCCUGGCCAUCAGGAUGCCACACUGUCUCCACUAGACAGAGUAGGGCAAGAGUUCCAUGAUCUCCAGUAGGUAGGAACUACGCCCCAAGUUGGCAUAAAGCAGUUACAGUUCCUCUGCAUCCCAUAAAGAUUUAUGGGGGUCAUGUCUCUCAGGAGAGAGAUGAGGCAGGAGAAUAGGGUCUGGAGGCAGGAAACCUAAGGGUUCACCUGACUUCCUAGAACUAAAUCAAAAGGAAAACCCCAACUUUCCGCACCUAAGUAACAAACGGACCAGAGACUACUCCCUUUGCAACCCCCACUCCCCACUUUCUGCUUGGCAGAUGGAAAAUCUUUUGAAAGUACCUCUGAUUGCCUUUCCGCAACCAAUCCUGCGUUUGCAUAGAAGUGUAACUUUGUAACUUCACUUCAGCCUCUGAUUGGUUGUGGAAAGCAACCAGUCAGACUGAUUGCGGCCAAAUAUUCUUUUGCAUAGGAGUGUAACUUUGUAACUUCACUUUAGCCUCUGAUUGGUUGUGGAAAGUAACCGAUCAGACUGAUUGCGGGCCAAAUCUUCUUUUGCAUAGGAGUGCAACCUUUGUAACUUCACUUCAGCCUCUGAUUGGUUGCUUUCCACAACCAAUCAGACUAAUUGUGGCACCACUUCAUUUACAUGGGGUGAACGCCAAGUGGCCAAUGGGAAACCUCUAGGAGGUAUUUGGACCCCAGAAGAUUCUACAGCAGGGGCUCUUGAGCCCAUAUGCAGGGGCCUGCUCCCACCUUGUGGAAUGCACUUUUGUUUUCAAUAAAUCUCUGCUUUUGUUGCUUCAUUCUUUCUUUACUUGCUUUGCUUGUGCCUUUUGUCUAAUUCUUUGUUCAAAAUGACAAGAACAGGCCGGGUGCGGUGGCUCAUGCCUAUAAUCCCAGCACUUUGGGAAGCUGAGGUGGGUGGAUCACCUGAGGUCAGGAGUUCCAGACCAGCCCGGCCAACGUGGCGAAACCCCGUCUCUACUAAAAAUAACAAAAAAAAUUAGUGGGACGUGGUGGCGCACACCUGUAAUCCCAGCUACUUGGGGGGCUGAGGCAGGAGAAUCGCUUGAACCCAGGAGGCAG
rnacentral:lncRNA from 10 species